UACGGAGGAUGCGAGCGUUAUCCGGAUUUAUUGGGUUUAAAGGGUGCGUAGGCGGGAGUUUAAGUCAGCGGUGAAAGUUUGAGGCUCAACCUUAAAAUUGCCGUUGAAACUGGAUUUCUUGAGUGUAUUUGAAGUAGGCGGAAUUCGUUGUGUAGCGGUGAAAUGCAUAGAUAUAACGAAGAACUCCAAUUGCGCAGGCAGCUUACUAAACUACAACUGACGCUGAAGCACGAAAGCGUGGGUAUCAAAC
rnacentral:rRNA from 1 species